rnacentral:rRNA from 1 species
UGAACGCUGGCGGCGUGCCUAACACAUGCAAGUCGAACGGAGUGUUGGAUGAAGUUUCGGAUGGAUCCGUUCAGCUUAGUGGCGGACGGGUGAGUAACGCGUGGAUAACCUGCCUUGAUCCGGGGGAUAGCAGUUGGAAACGACUGGUAAUACCGCAUAAGCGCACGGCAUGGCAUCAUGCAGUGUGAAAAGAUUUAUCGGGUCAAGAUGGAUCCGCGUCUGGAUUAGCCAGUUGGCGGGGCAACGGCCCACCAAAGCAACGAUCAGUAGCCGGCCUGAGAGGGCGGACGGCCACAUUGGGACUGAGACACGGCCCAGACUCCUACGGGAGGCAGCAGUGGGGGAUAUUGCACAAUGGGCGCAAGCCUGAUGCAGCGACGCCCGCGUGAGUGAAGAAGUAUUUCGGUAUGUAAAGCUCUAUCGGCAGGGAAGAAAGCCUCGCAAGAGGGAUGACGGUACCUGACUAAGAAGCCCCGGCUAACUACGUGCCAGCAGCCGC